AUACAUUCAGCGAAAAAGUAAGUAUUUCAGUCGAAGACUCCAGCGAACCGGCGGAUGGUGGGAGCCCGGUGUACGGAAGCUGAAAGAAACGCACUUUGGAGAAGUUCCGGUGAAAAUAAGUAGCCGGAACCGGGUUCCUGCCCGUUAUCCCGUGACGAGCCGGUCCUUUACUGUCAGAGACAGGUGAGGACAACGAGAGUGGUACCGCGGAUAUACGUCCGUCUCUUUA
rnacentral:ncRNA from 1 species